rnacentral:lncRNA from 10 species
CCUGGAGAGACACAAUUAGUAUUCAUUCUUGUGCUCAACAAAUAUUGAUCCAGUGCAGAGCAUGAUCCAGCACACUGCUGGGUCCUUGUUCUAGAGAGUGACUAAUAUGUAAUCAGGGAUUAGCAUUGAGGGUGCAAAGUAUUAGGAUGGUAGCCCCAUAGACGAUGGGGUCCCUGGUUCCAUUUUAUAUGGAUCAGGAAUGACUUCUUGGAACAAAUGACAUCUAAGCUGAGCAAGGUCAAGCCAAGAGAGUGGAAGCAGGUGUUGGGAGCAAUGUGUGGCAGCCCAGAGUCCAGGGAGAGCACAGUGCAUCCGAGAACCUCUAAGCAGUGACUAAAUGACUUCAUCGUAGCUUUAGGAGGUGAGAAAGGCCACAGUGAGGCAGGAUCUGAGAAGGGGUCCUGCACAUCUUGGGAAGGAGCUGACUUGCUUUUGUGCUGAGAGCUCAUAGAGCAACUCCCAUUUCCUGAGGGUUCUCCUGGUCAGGUUUCAUCACGGUCACUCUAUGGACAUUGUCUAAUUUAAUCCUUAAGACACAAUCAUCCUACAAAUACUAACCAAGCAUCUCCUCUGUCCUGCCCUUAUUUGAAAUGUUUUGUCUUGAAAUUCUUUUCGAGCAUACCACAUACCCUUCAUCCAAUUUCUUCUAAUGUUCAUGUCUUAUAUAACCAUGGGGAAUUCACAUUGGAACAAUAAGAUUAACUAAAUACAAACUUUAUUCAGGUUUCACCUAAGUUUCUAAUAAUGUCCUUUUCCUGCUCCAGGGUAUGACCCAGGACAGUGCUUUGGAUUUGGUGUCCGUUCCUUAUUAUGAAUCCUAAUUUAUUCAUGAGGUGACUGGGGGUUUUAGAGGUGGCAUGGUUUGCUCCAAGGCCCCCCUUGGAAGAGGAGGGGCCAGCCCAGAAGCCUCAUGUGACUUCUGCUUCUUGGUUUGUGGCCACCAGGGAUGCUUCUCCUUCAAGAGCAAGUGGACACCCUGGGUACCUGAUCCCACUCCUCCAGAAGCCCCAGAAGCCACAGGGAAUUGUCCUUUUUCUGUUACAGGAUGUGUUCAAGAGCAUUUGUGUACACUCACCUUUUCUCUCUGCUUCUGCAGAAAUUUACCCUAGGAAAUGAGUCAUGGUGAAAUUAAUUAAUGAACUGUAUGGAGAAAGAAAAGCAGUAUUUUUUUUCCACCGCCUGUCGACUCCCUGAUCUUCACAUUACUGCUCCCUCCUGCCCUGGUGGGCCUGAAGAGUCCAUCUGCCCCCUCCCCAGCCCUUACCCCCAGCACCAGGCAUGUGACUCCAGUCUGGUCACACAGAACUGUUUCUUGGUGCUCGACAUUCUGAAGACAAGAGGGUUGUGACGUGAGAGAUGUGACCCCAGAACACUGCAAGGAAGGGUCUGGGCAGGACUGACAUGAGAGUUGUUACUAGGACAUCGGGCCAGAUUUGACUCCUUCCUUUUGACUGUCUCCAAUGAGAAAAUGCUGACAAAGUCUCUGCCUCCAAUUCUGAACCCCUCCCAGCAUCUCCCCACUGCCUCUCCUCUUCCCCCAUUGUUACCACAUGAAGAUGGACCUGCGUAGAGGAGGGGGCUCACAGUGGCCAGCACAGAAAACUCCGAUUUUGGAGCAAGAAGACCAAGGACCUUCAGGGAAGCAGCAGCCCAGGGGAAGGGAGCACGCGAG